AUUGAACGCUGGCGGCAGGCCUAACACAUGCAAGUCGAGCGGAUGAAGGGAGCUUGCUCCUGGAUUCAGCGGCGGACGGGUGAGUAAUGCCUAGGAAUCUGCCUGGUAGUGGGGGAUAACGUCCGGAAACGGGCGCUAAUACCGCAUACGUCCUGAGGGAGAAAGUGGGGAAUCUUGGGACUCACGCUAUCCGAUGGACCUAGGUCGGAUUAGCUAGUUGGUGGGGUAAAGGCCUACCAAGGCGACGAUCCGUAACUGGUCUGAGAGGAUGAUCAGUCACACUGGAACUGAGACACGGUCCAGACUCCUACGGGAGGCAGCAGUGGGGAAUAUUGGACAAUGGGCGAAAGCCUGAUCCAGCCAUGCCGCGUGUGUGAAGAAGGUCUUCGGAUUGUAAAGCACUUUAAGUUGGGAGGAAGGGCAGUAAGUUAAUACCUUGCUGUUUUGACGUUACCAACAGAAUAAGCACCGGCUAACUUCGUG
rnacentral:rRNA from 1 species